UACGUAGGGUGCAGGCGUUGUCCGGAAUUAUUGGGCGUAAAGAGCGUGUAGGCGGCUUGUUAAGUCUUGCGUGAAAUCUCGGGGCUCAACCCCGAGCGGUCGUGAGAAACUGGCAGGCUAGAGUGCGGGAGAGGAGAGUGGAAUUCCUGGUGUAGCGGUGAAAUGCGCAGAUAUCAGGAAGAACACCCGUGGCGAAGGCGGCUCUCUGGAACGCAACUGACGCUGAGACGCGAAAGCGUGGGGAGCAAACAGG
rnacentral:rRNA from 1 species